rnacentral:tRNA from 1 species
GCUAGUGUGGCAUAGUGGUUUGAGUGUUGGAAUAUGAUUCUAGAGACCAGGGUUCGAUUCCCAGCUCGACCA